rnacentral:tRNA from 8 species
GCUCCUAUGGCUCAGAUGGUAGAGCAACUGAUUCGUAAUCAGUAGGUCACAGGUUCGAAUCCUGCUAGGAGCACCA